rnacentral:rRNA from 1 species
UGGGGAAUAUUGGACAAUGGGGGCAACCCUGAUCCAGCCAUGCCGCGUGUGUGAAGAAGGCCUUUUGGUUGUAAAGCACUUUAAGCAGGGAGGAGAGGCUAAUGGUUAAUACCCAUUAGAUUAGACGUUACCUGCAGAAUAAGUACCGGCUAACUCUGUGCCAGCAGCCGCGGUAUNACAGAGGGUGCGAGCGUUAAUCGGAAUUACUGGGCGUAAAAGCGAGUGUAGGUGGCUCAUUAAGUCACAUGUGAAAUCCCGGGCUUAACCUGGGAACUGCAUGUGAUACUGGUGGUGCUAGAAUAUGUGAGAGGGAAGUAGAAUUCCAGGUGUAGCGGUGAAAUGCGUAGAGAUCUGGAGGAAUACCGAUGACGAAGGCAGCUUGCCUGGCAUAAUAUUGANACUGAGAUUCGAAAGCGUGGGUGCAAACAGAUUAGAUACCCUGGUAGUCCACGCCGUAAACGAUGUCUACUAGCCGUUGGGGUCCUUGAGACUUUAGUGGCGC